rnacentral:rRNA from 1 species
AGCGAACGCUGGCGGUAUGCUUAACACAUGCAAGUCGAGCGCGAAAGUGACUUCGGUCAUAAGUAGAGCGGCGGACGGGUGAGUAACACGUGGAUAAUCUGCCUUUAGGACUGGGAUAACCCUGGGAAACUAGGGCUAAUACCGGAUAAGACCACAGGUUCCAUGGAACCAGGGGUAAAAGGCGGCCUUCGGGCUGUCGCCGAAAGAUGAGUCCGCGUCCCAUCAGGUAGUUGGUGAGGUAACGGCUCACCAAGCCGAAGACGGGUAGCCGACCUUAGCGGGUGAUCGGCCACACGGGGACUGAGACACGGCCCCGACUCCUACGGGAGGCAGCAGUGGGGAAUCUUGGGCAAUGGGCGCAAGCCUGACCCAGCAAUACCGCGUGAGGGAUGAAGGCCUUCGGUCGU